CUCAAAGGAAUUGACGGGGGCCCGCUACAAGCGGUGGAGCAUGUGGUUUAAUUCGAAUGCAACGCGAAGAACCUUACCUGGUCUUGCCAUUCGGAGAUCUUCGGAUCAAAACCUGUUUGACGGUUACCCGAAGCUUAUCACAGGUGCUGCAUGGCUGUCGUCAGCUCGUGUCGUGAGAUGUUGGGUUAAGUCCCGUAACGAGCGCAACCCCUAUCUUUUUAAUUGCCACUAUCAAGUUUUCAAGGAGCACUUUAGAGAGACUGCCGGUGUUAAACCGGACUGGAAGGUGGGGAUGACGCUCAAGUCCUCAUGGCCCUUAUGACAAGGGCUGCACACGUGCUACAAUGGACGGUACAUCGAGCCGCACCAUCCGGUACGGCUACCUUGUUAAUCCCACAAAGCCAUCCCUAGUUCGGAUUUAGGAGUCUGCAACUCGACUCCGUUAAGAUGGAAUCUUUAGUAAUCUCCAAUCAGCAUGGCGCGGUGAAUAGCGUUCCCGGGCCUUGUACACACCGCCCGUCACACCAUUCUGAUCCACGAUUCCUAGCGACUCCGACUUCAUGAAGGCGAAUUUCAGCCUUCAAUCCGGACUUUGAACCGUUUUACAAGGGAUUCGUACGCCUCACGGUAGGUGGAUCACCUCCCUUCCAUUGA
rnacentral:rRNA from 1 species